AAUGGUAUACAGAAUUCCCCAUAACACCAGGCGGCCUGCUAACAGCUGACACAUCUCAGUUAUAACACCCAACCCGAGAUAUAAACGCACCGUAGAGCCCUCAUAAUCAGCUGGUACUCCGAGUAUCUCUCCUUCAGGACCACCAUCUCCACCGGGUCCACGGGGGGAGGCACUUUGAUGCGCCCCUCUUUGGACUUGGCGACCGGGUCCGUGCGGGACUUUCUGCCCCGGACUGCCUCCACGAGCACGGCGGUCCUCGGGGAGAGGAGCCGGGCAGCCUGGACGGUCCUCCCGCUGAUGACCUGGAACAUGUCGGGGUUAAGAUGAGGUAAAGAGGCAGUCAGUCAGAGUCUCAGUGUGAAGGUUUAUCUGGUCUUUAAGGUUCUGGAAGGUAACAUUGAGAAGGGAAUGUUAUCGACGCAGGGGAGCCGCCAUCUUGGUUUCCUCUGACCGCGGGAAGUGAUUGGGAGAGGAGCUAACACGGUGUUAGCCUAAACGCCUCUACUGCCAUCUGCAGGGAGCAGAAGAGGAUGUUUGAGGACAUUAGAAAGACUUUUCACAUUUAAUAACCCUCCUUUAACUAUGUUUUACUCUUUAAGACAUAAGCCCAUCCUUAAAGCCCUCCAUUACAGCUAGAUUACUACAAACAGCAGAUAGCUAAACCAUGCUAACAACAUACAGUGACAAGCCAGGGUUCAGCUGGAUGUCUGGAGUGAGCCUGAUGAUGGAUGGUCCUGCUGAGGCAGAGCACCAACACCUCACAGCUACAGUCAGCUUGCCAGGAACAUGGAAUGAUGGGAAAUGGUGCAGUGCCGCUGUUUGUGUUGUUCCUGUGACAUUGAGAGCGUUCCAGGAAAUGGCUCUGACUUCCAAAGGGUUAAUAAUCUUCGAGUGUGAACACAGUUUCAGAGGGUGAUGAUGGCACCCAGAGGCCUCCGAGGAAGCUGUGUGUGCCGAGCAGCCGAGGCUGAGAUGGGCAGGCGCUGCUCCCCCAUUCAUCACUGUCAAGUUGAAUAGAAAAUUAACAAAUCCCUUAAUUAA